UACGGGGGGGGCAAGCGUUGUUCGGAAUUACUGGGCGUAAAGAGCUCGUAGGCGGUGUGUCGCGUCGGCCGUGAAAACCUGCAGCUUAACUUCGAGCUGUCGGUGGAAACUUUCUGGCUAGAGUCCGGAAGAGGAGAAUGGAAUUCCUGGUGUAGCGGUGAAAUGCGCAGAUAUCAGGAAGAACACCCGUGGCGAAGGCGGUUCUCUGGGACGGUACUGACGCUGAGGCGCGAAAGCGUGGGGAGCAAACAGG
rnacentral:rRNA from 1 species